rnacentral:rRNA from 1 species
AUUACCGAGUGCGGGCCCCUCGGGGCCCAACCUCCCACCCGUGUUGCCCGAACCUAUGUUGCCUCGGCGGGCCCCGCGCCCGCCGACGGCCCCCCUGAACGCUGUCUGAAGUUGCAGUCUGAGACCUAUAACGAAAUUAGUUAAAACUUUCAACAACGGAUCUCUUGGUUCCGGCAUCGAUGAAGAACGCAGCGAAAUGCGAUAACUAAUGUGAAUUGCAGAAUUCAGUGAAUCAUCGAGUCUUUGAACGCACAUUGCGCCCUCUGGUAUUCCGGAGGGCAUGCCUGUCCGAGCGUCAUUGCUGCCCUCAAGCCCGGCUUGUGUGUUGGGCCCCGUCCCCCCCGCCGGGGGGACGGGCCCGAAAGGCAGCGGCGGCACCGCGUCCGGUCCUCGAGCGUAUGGGGCUUCGUCACCCGCUCUAGUAGGCCCGGCCGGCGCCAGCCGACCCCCAACCUUUAAUUAUCUCAGGUUGACCUCGGAUCAGGUAGGGAUACCCGCUGAACUUAAGCAUAUCAAUAAGCGGAGGAAAAGAAACCAACCGGGAUUGCCCUAGUAACGGCGAGUGAAGCGGCAAGAGCUCAAAUUUGAAAGCUGGCCCCCUCGGGGUCCGCAUUGUAAUUUGCAGAGGAUGCUUCGGGAACGGCCCCCAUCUAAGUGCCCUGGAACGGGCCGUCAUAGAGGGUGAGAAUCCCGUCUGGGAUGGGGUGGCCGCGCCCGUGUGAAGCUCCUUCGACGAGUCGA